rnacentral:rRNA from 1 species
AGUGAACGCUGGCGGCAGGCCUAAUACAUGCAAGUCGAACGGCAGCACAGCAGAGCUUGCUCUGUGGGUGGCGAGUGGCGGACGGGUGAGGAAUACAUGGGAAUCUGCCCAGUCGUGGGGGAUAACGUAGGGAAACUUACGCUAAUACCGCAUGCGCCCUUCGGGGGAAAGCCGGGGACCUUCGGGCCUGGCGCGAUUGGAUGAGCUCAUGUCGGAUUAGCUAGUUGGCGGGGUAAUGGCCCACCAAGGCGACGAUCCGUAGCUGGUCUGAGAGGAUGAUCAGCCACACUGGAACUGAGACACGAUCCAGACUCCUACGGGAGGCAGCAGUAGGGAAUAUUGGACAAUGGGCGCAAGCCUGAUCCAGCCAUGCCGCGUGAGUGAAGAAGGCCCUCGGGUUGUAAAGCUCUUUUGUCCGGAAAGAAAAGCGCCGGGUUAAUACCCUGGUGUCCUGACGGUACCGGAAGAAUAAGCCCCGGCAAACUUCGUGCCAG